rnacentral:rRNA from 1 species
UGGGGAAUCUUGGACAAUGGGGGCAACCCUGAUCCAGCCAUGCCGCGUGAGUGAUGAAGGCCUUAGGGUCGUAAAGCUCUUUCGCCUGUGAAGAUAAUGACGGUAGCAGGUAAAGAAACCCCGGCUAACUCCGUGCCAGCAGCCGCGGUAAUACGGAGGGGGUUAGCGUUGUUCGGAAUUACUGGGCGUAAAGCGCACGUAGGCGGACCAGAAAGUUGGGGGUGAAAUCCCGGGGGCUCAACCCCGGAACUGCCUCCAAAACUAUUGGUCUAGAGUUCGAGAGAGGUGAGUGGAAUUCCAAGUGUAGAGGUGAAAUUCGUAGAUAUUUGGAGGAACACCAGUGGCGAAGGCGGCUCACUGGCUCGAUACUGACGCUGAGGUGCGAAAGUGUGGGGAGCAAACAGGAUUAGAUACCCUGGUAGUCCACACCGUAAAACGAUGAAUGCCAGUCGUCGGGUAGCAUGCUAUUCGGUGACACACCUAACGGAUUAAGCAUUCCGGCCUGGGGAGUACGGUCGCAAGAUUAAAACUCAAAGGAAUU